rnacentral:rRNA from 1 species
GUGGCGUGGAAAACGGUGGACUGAGUGCACGAGGGGAGAGCGGAAUCCCGGAGUAGCGGUGGAAUGCGCAGAUAUCGGGAAGAACACCAGCGGCGAAAGCGGCUCUCUGGCGUGCAACUGACCCUCAGGGACGAAAGCGUGGGUAGCAAACAGGAUUAGAUACCCUGGUAGUCCACGCUGUAAACGUUGUGCACUAGAUGCCGGCGGCACUCCGGUGCUGUCGGUGUCCAAGUUAACGCGAUAAGUGCACCGCCUGGGGACUACGGCCGCAAGGCUAAAACUCAAAGGAAUUGACGGGGGCCCGCACAACCGGUGGAGCAUGUGGCUUAAUUCGAGGCUACGCGAAGAACCUUACCCGGGUUUGACAUAUAUCCGCCCGCCUGUGAAAUCA